rnacentral:rRNA from 1 species
GACGAACGCUGGCGGCGUGCUUAACACAUGCAAGUCGAACGGAAAGGCCCUGCUUUUGUGGGGUGCUCGAGUGGCGAACGGGUGAGUAACACGUGAGUAACCUGCCCUUGACUUUGGGAUAACUUCAGGAAACUGGGGCUAAUACCGGAUAGGAGCUCCUGCUGCAUGGUGGGGGUUGGAAAGUUUCGGCGGUUGGGGAUGGACUCGCGGCUUAUCAGCUUGUUGGUGGGGUAGUGGCUUACCAAGGCUUUGACGGGUAGCCGGCCUGAGAGGGUGACCGGCCACAUUGGGACUGAGAUACGGCCCAGACUCCUACGGGAGGCAGCAGUGGGGAAUAUUGCACAAUGGGCGGAAGCCUGAUGCAGCAACGCCGCGUGCGGGAUGACGGCCUUCGGGUUGUAAACCGCUUUCGCCUGUGACGAAGCGUGAGUGACGGUAAUGGGUAAAGAAGCACCGGCUAACUACGUGCCAGCAGCCGCAGUGAUACGUAGGGUGCGAGCGUUGUCCGGAUUUAUUGGGCGUAAAGGGCUCGUAGGUGGUUGAUCGCGUCGGAAGUGUAAUCUUGGGGCUUAGCCCUGAGCGUGCUUUCGAUACGGGUUGACUUGAGGAAGGUAGGGGAGAAUGGAAUUCCUGGUGGAGCGGUGGAAUGCGCAGAUAUCAGGAGGAACACCAGUGGCGAAGGCGGUUCUCUGGGCCUUUCCUGACGCUGAGGAGCGAAAGCGUGGGGAGCGAACAGGCUUAGAUACCCUGGUAGUCCACGCUGUAAACGGUGGGUACUAGGUGUGGGGUCCAUUCCACGGGUUCCGUGCCGUAGCUAACGCUUUAAGUACCCCGCCUGGGGAGUACGGCCGCAAGGCUAAAACUCAAAGGAAUUGACGGGGCCCCGCACAAGCGGCGGAGCAUGCGGAUUAAUUCGAUGCAACGCGUAGAACCUUACCUGGGUUUGACAUGGAUCGGGAGUGCUCAGAGAUGGGUGUGCCUCUUUUGGGGUCGGUUCACAGGUGGUGCAUGGCUGUCGUCAGCUCGUGUCGUGAGAUGUUGGGUUAAGUCCCGCAACGAGCGCAACCCUUGUUCACUGUUGCCAGCACGUUAUGGUGGGGACUCAGUGGAGACCGCCGGGGUCAACUCGGAGGAAGGUGGGGAUGACGUCAAGUCAUCAUGCCCCUUAUGUCCAGGGCUUCACGCAUGCUACAAUGGCUGGUACAGAGAGUGGCGAGCCUGUGAGGGUGAGCGAAUCUCGGAAAGCCGGUCUCAGUUCGGAUUGGGGUCUGCAACUCGACCUCAUGAAGUCGGAGUCGCUAGUAAUCGCAGAUCAGCAACGCUGCGGUGAAUACGUUCCCGGGGCUUGUACACACCGCCCGUCAAGUCAUGAAAGUUGGUAACACCCGAAGCCGGUGGCCUAACCGUUGUGGGGGAGCCGUCGAAGGUGGGACUGGUGAUUAGGACUAAGUCGUAACAAGGUAGCCGUACCGGAAGG